rnacentral:rRNA from 1 species
AGGACGAACGCUGGCGGCGUGCCUAAUACAUGCAAGUCGAACGGUCUUUCUAUGGAAGCUUGCUUCCACUGAGAAGAUAGUGGCGGACGGGUGAGUAACACGUGGGUAACCUGCCCAUAAGAGGGGGAUAACAUCCGGAAACGGGUGCUAAUACCGCAUAGUUUUCUUGAUCGCAUGAUCGGGAAAGGAAAGACGGCCUUUGUGCUGUCGCUUAUGGAUGGACCCGCGGCGUAUUAGUUAGUUGGUGAGGUAAUGGCUCACCAAGACGAUGAUACGUAGCCGACCUGAGAGGGUGAUCGGCCACAUUGGGACUGAGACACGGCCCAAACUCCUACGGGAGGCAGCAGUAGGGAAUCUUCCGCAAUGGACGAAAGUCUGACGGAGCAACGCCGCGUGAGUGAAGAAAGGUUUUCGGAUCGUAAAACUCUGUUGUCAGAGAAGAACAAGUUGGAGAGUAACUGCUCCAGCCUUGACGGUAUCUGACCAGAAAGCCACGGCUAACUACGUGCCAGCCGCCGC